rnacentral:rRNA from 1 species
GUAGGUGGCAAGCGUUGUCCGGAAUUAUUGGGCGUAAAGCGCGCGCAGGCGGUCCUUUAAGUCUGAUGUGAAAGCCCACGGCUCAACCGUGGAGGGUCAUUGGAAACUGGGGGACUUGAGUACGGAAGAGGAAAGCGGAAUUCCAAGUGUAGCGGUGAAAUGCGUAGAGAUUUGGAGGAACACCAGUGGCGAAGGCGGCUUUCUGGUCUGUAACUGACGCUGAGGCGCGAAAGCGUGGGGAGCAAACAGGAUUAGAUACCCUGGUAGUCCACGCCGUAAACGAUGAGUGCUAAGUGUUAGGGGGUUUUCCCGCCCCCCUUAGUGCUGCAGCUAACGCAUUAAGCACUCCGCCUGGGGGAGUACGGCCGCAAGGCUG